GUUUCUGUAGUGUAGUGGUCAUCACGUUUGCCUAACACGCAAAAGGUCCUUUCGGUUCAAAACCGAGCAGAAACA